AAGAUUUAUUUAUUUAUUUAUUUAUUUAUUUAUUUGACAGAGAGAGAGAGACAGCCAGCGAGAGAGGGAACACAGCAGGGGGAGUGGGAGAGGAAGAAGCAGGCUCCCAGCAGAGAAGCCUGAUAUGGGGCUCGAUUCCAGAACGUCAGGAUCACGCCCUGAGCCGAAGGCAGACGCUUAACAACUGCACCAUCCAGGCGCCCCUGCAUGGUUUUUUUCUAAUAUUGUCCUCACUGAAAGAAGCUCAGACCAAGGAACAGAAAAGAAGUUUAAUACGUGGUUCCUAUGGAGACACUGAUGCUUGAUCUACCCAGUUACCUCUGUGUUCAGUUACUGAUGGUCUGUCGCAACUUGACAGGUUCCAAAAUUAGAAAGAUGGAAAAUUCUGCUGCAAUUCUUAGGUGUCUAGCAAUCCGGCUUAUAUUGCUUUUAUCCAUUAAGAUAAUCAGAGGGAUGGAAACUCAAGUACUAUAUAUCAACUCAAAGAGGGGAUGUAAUGAAAGAAAUGGAUGCCGAACAUCAGAGACCACGUGGCCUGAGCGAUUCAACGAUGCAGUCCCUGUGAGUCCCAUCAGUAUAUCCUGUGGUUUGUUCCAUAAGACCCUCCUCUGCUUUCUGGAGUUUGAUCUAUUUUGA
ensembl:lncRNA